rnacentral:rRNA from 1 species
GCUUAACACAUGCAAGUCGAGCGGUAAGGCCCUUCGGGGUACACGAGCGGCGAACGGGUGAGUAACACGUGGGUGAUCUGCCUUGCACUCUGGGAUAAGCCUGGGAAACUGGGUCUAAUACCGGAUAUGAGCCUGAACUGCAUGGUUCGGGUUGGAAAGAUUUAUCGGUGCGAGAUGGGCCCGCGGCCUAUCAGCUUGUUGGUGAGGUAACGGCUCACCAAGGCGACGACGGGUAGCCGGCCUGAGAGGGCGACCGGCCACACUGGGACUGAGACACGGCCCAGACUCCUACGGGAGGCAGCAGUGGGGAAUAUUGCACAAUGGGCGAAAGCCUGAUGCAGCGACGCCGCGUGAGGGAUGACGGCCUUCGGGUUGUAAACCUCUUUCGACAGGGACGAAGCGCAAGUGACGGUACCUGUAGAAGAAGCACCGGCUAACUACGUGCCAGCAGCCGCGGUAAUACGUAGGGUGCGAGCGUUGUCCGGAAUUACUGGGCGUAAAGAGCUUGUAGGCGGUCUGUCACGUCGGUCGUGAAAACUCACAGCUCAACUGUGGGCCUGCGGUCGAUACGGGCAGACUAGAGUACUUCAGGGGAGACUGGAAUUC